AAAUUAAAAUAGGCCUGUUUUUUUUCCCGGAGCCCGAACGAUAUUACCUAAAAAAGCGUAAGAAUUUCGAAAAUUUUUGACGUCUACGAAAAUUUGAUAAAUUAAUUUCCAAGAGCAUAGAGGUAAUUUCCAUCACGUCCGACGUUUCGAAAGGGGUUUUUGCAGUUUUCGGAAACUCGAGUCGAUUAUUAUAUGAAUAAUGCCAAAAUAGGGAAGAUAAAUGCUAGAGAAUCAUUCUCCAUAUCCUGUAGCAUCUCCAGGUACCCAUAUUUCGGCUCGAUAUGUACAGGUAAGUUUGCAAUUUUCGAUAUAACGAAACCACCUCGGUUAAGCACCGUUCAGAACCUUCGUUUUGGCCCUGAAUAUUUUCAGUCAUUUCGUGAUUUUUAGCGUUGAAAUUGCCAAGAUAAAUUUAUAUUAGGAAAGUCGAGGUCACUUUUCAGCCAAAACUAACUUAAAAUUUUAUAAUUUCCAUAAUUUUUCAAUUCGUAUAACGUGUUUUCCUGUCAUUCGGGUAGAAGUGUUGUUGGAGCCUUAGGCCAGUUUCAUUUGAUUGUUGACAGACCGUGAAAAAAUUGAUGUAAAUUUUUAAGGUUUAAUUAUUAUUCAAAUUAAAGGAUAUAUUUACUACAUUUCUCCCCGUACAAUAGCAUAGCAGUGCUUCGAAGCUCACAUCACAGAUGAAUUUUUUCCCAUAAUCCGAAAGUUAGGUUAUUAUUGAAUUUCCAGAUAUGAAAGACAGUUCUUGGACGUGAAUCUGUAUAAAAAUCAGAUGUAAUAACUGAUAGUUUAUUUUGUCACUAACAAUACUUAUUUUUCAGGCACAUAUAAAUUCAUCAUAUCAAGAAAUGUAUGAAAUUCACAAAUGUCAAAUAUAAUCUCUCGGAAAGUCUCAUUUUAAAUAAAAAAAGCUUCUUCAGGGAUUAAAUUACAUGCAAACUCACAGAAUAAGAAACAUCCUUAAUCUUGGUGUAUGAACAUAAGAAUUUCUAGAUAACAAACGGUUCUUGGGGGCAUAUAUAAAUUUAUCAGAUCAAGAAAUGUAUAAUAUCAUCUCUCGGACAGUGUUAUUUGGUAAAAAAAAAGUUUUUUCAGAGUAAGUUCAUAAAGCAAUUCGUUCAGGAGAGUUUCCAUGUGAAGUAGAUGAUCUAUUUCUCUUCUUUUCAACUGAGUACAUCAGAUUUCUGACAACGUUCAAGCAAUUGGGUAGUGUAUGGAGAUGAUUUUCUUAGUCUAGAUCUAUGGCAAAAUACGUUUUGAGAUAAGUUAUUCUGUUGGAAUUAUAUAAUGAUUAUUGAAACACAAUCUAUGAGUGAGCUUUUGCGUUAAAAUUCUAUGUUUAUAGACAUUUGUCGAGUUUUCUCAUUCAAGGUAAGAUUUUUCUCUUAUCGUAGAGAGAAGGACUCUGUAGGUUUUUGUUCGAAAUAAACUGAAUUAAAUGUUAUAAUA